AGCUUUAUAGUCAAUAUAUAUGAUAUUAGACUGCAAUUCUAAAGUAGUAAUUUACUAAAGCUU
rnacentral:tRNA from 1 species